rnacentral:lncRNA from 1 species
AUUUGUUUCCUUGUGCGUGCGCACUACACCUCCCGUGCUCCUUCUAAUAUAAAGUAAAAUGCUAGGGUGCCGUGACUCACAUUUGCGAAUAAACCUGAGGACCAUAAUUCAAGUCGCGCGUAUCGUCGAAAGAAUCAUCUGCAAAAAAAUGGGUGGAACACGAGGACUUCCAAAGAAAAUGGGUGAAAUAUAAAGACUUCGCAUGAGG